rnacentral:rRNA from 1 species
AUUGAACGCUGGCGGCAGGCCUAACACAUGCAAGUCGAGCGCGAAAGGACUUCGGUCUGAGUAGAGCGGCGGACGGGUGAGUAACGCGUAGGAAUCUGUCCGGUAGUGGGGGAUAACGUUCCGAAAGGAACGCUAAUACCGCAUACGCCCCACGGGGGAAAGGGGGGGAUCCUUCGGGACCUCUCGCUAUCGGAGGAGCCUGCGUCGGAUUAGCUAGUUGGUAGGGUAAAGGCCUACCAAGGCGACGAUCCGUAGCUGGUCUGAGAGGAUGAUCAGCCACGGCGGAACGGAGGCACGGUCCGGACUCCUAGGGGAGGCGGCGGUGGGGAAUAUUGCGCAAUGGGCGAAAGCCUGACGCGGCCAUGCCGCGUGGGUGAAGAAGGCCUUCGGGUUGUAAGGCACUUUCAGUGGGGAGGAGAGGGGGAUGGCUAAUACCCAUCACCGGUGACGCUACCCACAGAAGAAGCACCGGCUAAUUCCGUGCCAGCCGCCGCCGUAAGAC